GUUCAAGAGGAUUUUCAUGGAGUUAAAAAUAUUGGAUUGAAAACAUGGCAAGCCAAGCACGAUCUCCAAACCAUCAGUCUUCUCCAAAAUGGAAACCUAUAAAGUUCAAUACAAAAAAUGCAUAUACCUAAGGAGAGAUUGACGUAAUUCGAACCCAAUGGGCAAGUUUUGUUGCCCGAUUUGUUUAAGGAUGUACUUCUUGUUUUUUGUCUCAAUAGAAUUUAAAUGCUAGCUUAGAAUGAAUGCAAAUUUAUCUAACCAUGAUCUAGUUAUUGAAAGAUUUAUGUAUAAUAUUUUUCUAUUUAUAAAGUAUUUGGUGUUAAGUAUUCAUGGAAGUACUAAUUGAUAUUU